AAACCCCUUUUGAUUUGUUAAAACAGAUUGCGGUCUGGCAACUGCAACGUUUAACAAGAAAUCAAAAG
rnacentral:ncRNA from 2 species